GAUGAACGCUGGCGGCGUGCCUAAUACAUGCAAGUCGAGCGAACAGACGAGGAGCUUGCUCCUCUGACGUUAGCGGCGGACGGGUGAGUAACACGUGGAUAACCUACCUAUAAGACUGGGAUAACUUCGGGAAACCGGAGCUAAUACCGGAUAAUAUAUUGAACCGCAUGGUUCAAUAGUGAAAGACGGUUUUGCUGUCACUUAUAGAUGGAUCCGCGCCGCAUUAGCUAGUUGGUAAGGUAACGGCUUACCAAGGCGACGAUGCGUAGCCGACCUGAGAGGGUGAUCGGCCACACUGGAACUGAGACACGGUCCAGACUCCUACGGGAGGCAGCAGUAGGGAAUCUUCCGCAAUGGGCGAAAGCCUGACGGAGCAACGGCGCGUGAGUGAUGAAGGUCUUCGGAUCGUAAAACUCUGUUAUUAGGGAAGAACAAAUGUGUAAGUAACUAUGCACGUCUUGACGGUACCUAAUCAGAAAGCCACGGCUAACUACGU
rnacentral:rRNA from 1 species